rnacentral:rRNA from 1 species
GCGUCAUAGAGGGUGAGAAUCCCGUCUUUGGCACGGAAACCCCAGGGCUUUUGUGAUGCGCUCUCGAAGAGUCGAGUUGUUUGGGAAUGCAGCUCAAAAUGGGUGGUGAACUCCAUCUAAAGCUAAAUAUUGGCGAGAGACCGAUAGCGAACAAGUACCGUGAGGGAAAGAUGAAAAGCACUUUGGAAAGAGAGUGAAACAGUACGUGAAAUUGUUGAAAGGGAAACGCUUGAAGUCAGUCGCGUCGACCGAGACUCAGCCUUGCCCUUGGCUUGGUGUACUUCUCGGCUGACGGGUCAGCAUCAAUUUUGCCCCUUGGAUAAUGGCGAGGGAAAUGUGACACCUUUACGGUGUGUUAUAGUCUCUUGUCGCAUGCAAGGGUUGGGAUUGAGGAACUCAGCACGCACCUUUGGGUGUCGGGGCUUUGCCCACGAUACGUGCUUAGGAUGUUGGCGUAAUGGCUUUAAACGACCCGUCUUGAAACACGGACCAAGGAGUCUAACAUGCCUGCGAGUGUUCGGGUGGAAAACUCGUGCGCGCAAUGAAAGUGAAAGUUGGGACCUCUGUCGUGGAGGGCACCGACGCCCGGACCAGACCUUCUGUGACGGCUCUGCGGUAAAGCAUGUAUGUUAGGACCCGAAAGAUGGUGAACUAUGCCUGAAUAGGGUGAAGCCAGAGGAAACUCUGGUGGAGGCUCGUAGCGAUUCUGACGUGCAAAUCGAUCGUCAAAUUUGAGUAUAGGGGCGAAAGACUAAUCGAACCAUCUAGUAGCUGGUUCCUGCCG